GGAGGUGUCAUAGGCUGUUCAGUGGCUUACCAUCUUGCAAAGCUUGGAUGGAAAGAUAUUUUACUUCUGGAACAAGGAAGUGUGAGUGGAGGUACAACAUGGCAUGCUGUAGGAUUGCUCGGCAAACUAAGGGGAACAAGACUAGAAACCUACAUAUGUGAUUAUGCUGAAACUCUUUAUAAAAGACUAGAAGAAGAGACAGGUUUGCAAUCAGGUUUCAAGAAAUGUGGUGGUUUACUUAUAGCUAGAAGUGAUGACCGACUGACGGCA